AGCACAGUUCCUUAUAAUUAACUAUAAAUUAGAAAAGGAUUGGGAGGACUUUUUAGGGAAACAGACACCAAACUCCUGCUAAAGCAGAUGGGAGUGGGACUGAAGAGUUGCUUUGGUCUCCCUCAAGUCUGUGACAGACUCAGAUAUUCCCCAGAAGAGAUCAGUUUUCCAACAAUUUGAAAACUGACAGCGUUCUCUAGAAUGACCUGUUCUAACCUUCCCAUUUUCUGAAUGAGGCAACUGAGAGAUUCAGGGAGGGUUGGCCAAAGUCACACAGCAGUAAGGUCAGAACUGGAACCAGAGCCCACCCUUCUGAGUCCAUGGCCAGUGGCUCUGGCUGCCACUGCGUUUUUGCAUGCUCAGAUGCCUGUGCCUUUCCUGUUUCCAGUAGGUUCCAAAUGCUCCCUGCUGAAGUGGUAUGCCUCAGUGGAGAAGAGGGAACACGGUGAUCAGUCACUGAGGGUUUCAGAUAUGCUGGCGCCCACCUAGCCUCACACUGGCCACAGGAUAGAGCUGUGGUCUCCUUGUAAGCAGCAUGGUUAUUUCUAUGGCUGCCCUCUGUCUCCCCCCUAAGCCAGGGAAUCUGCUGUUCUGAGAAGGAAAUCAGCCCAAAGCUAAUUAGCAGUGAGUAUGUGUCCGUGUUUAGUAGAGGUUUGCUAUCCCUGUGAUUCCCUGGUCUCAGAUCAUCUGGGCCUUAGUUGUCACGGAGCCACCAUGGGGAGGCAGGAAAAGCCUUUGAAGAGCUGUCCCUAACCCAUUUGAGGCAAAGCCCUGAUGUCAUUUCCCUGGACAGUGUGUGUGUGAGACAGACAGGGCCAGCCACCCAAGGAAGCCAGUGCGCAGAGUUCGUGGGCCUUGAUGUGAUGUUUUCCUGCCUACCGGCUACCAUAGAGGGCAUAGAGUGCCCUGUUUUCAAGUUUUCCAGCUCCCUUUCCUUGAUGAACUUGACCGCAGCCCACCCCUAGGAUUUUCUUUGGUUCCCUAUGAUACCAGGCUGUGUGCGUGUGGAGGAGUGAGAUAAUUUAAGGCAUGCCUCCAGCUGGCAAAGAGCCUGAAGGCGCGUAUUGAAGAGAGCUGGGUUUCCUUCCAUGUGUUGUUAAAGACCAUCCUACCAGCAGUAAUACUCAUGAGCAGCACCGUGCCAGGCCUGCGGAGAGCGAUGUGUGUGCUGGGUACUGCACCCUUGGCAGCUACCUGGGCAGCAAGUGCCUAUUGUUGGUGAAGCCACAUAACUGGAAGGGAUGUGUUUGAACCUCCAGAGCCAAAUGGUCAGCAGCUGGGAGAAGCAACCUAAAUAUCCAGGAAGAGGGGAGCUGCCUCAGCCCACCCAAACCCAGAGGGAAGUCAGUCGCAGUUGAUCAUCUGGACCUUUCAUUUGAGUGAAUAUAUCCCAGAGGCCCUCAUUCCUAGACAGCUCCCCCAGGACCAGUCUGAACUGCAGGAGUAAAAUGUGCUCGGCAAGCUUAUGUUCCAAACAUGCUCAAGGUGUGGUGACUGGGGCAGAGCCUUCAGCAAGACCUGAGUCGUCUACCUUCUGAGACUUUCCUGUGUGACACCAAAUGAUAACAGGCUGAUGUUGGCAAUGGAGUUUAAAUAAACCAUAAGAAUCAAAAGCUUUGAAAGUGUCUGCUAAUUCUCCUUUCUCCUUUCUUUUUCGUGUGUGUAUGUGUUUGU